UACAGAGGUCUCAAGCGUUGUUCGGAUUCAUUGGGCGUAAAGGGUGCGUAGGCGGGCGCGGUAAGUCGGGUGUGAAAUCUCGGAGCUUAACUCCGAAACUGCAUUCGAUACUACCGUGCUUGAGGACUGGAGAGGAGACUGGAAUUUACGGUGUAGCGGUGAAAUGCGUAGAUAUCGUAAGGAAGACCAGUGGCGAAGGCGGGUCUCUGGACAGUUCCUGACGCUGAGGCACGAAGGCCAGGGGAGCAAACGGG
rnacentral:rRNA from 1 species